rnacentral:rRNA from 1 species
UACGUAGGGGGCAAGCGUUGUCCGGAAUCAUUGGGCGUAAAGAGCGCGCAGGCGGUCGUUCAAGUCGCGUGUGAAAGCCCCCGGCUCAACUGGGGAGGGUCACGCGAUACUGAUCGACUCGAAGGCAGGAGAGGGAAGUGGAAUUCCCGGUGUAGUGGUGAAAUGCGUAGAUAUCGGGGAAGGAACACCAGUGGCGAAGGCGGCUUCUUGGGCCAUUUCUGACGCUGAGGCGGCGAAAAGCUG